AUUGAACGCUGGCGGAAUGCUUUACACAUGCAAGUCGAACGGUAGAGGGGGCAACCCCUUGAGAGUGGCGAACGGGUGAGUAAUAUAUCGGAACGUGCCCAGUCGUGGGGAUAACGUAGCGAAAGUUACGCUAAUACCGCAUACGAUCUAAGGAUGAAAGCGGGGGAUCGCAAGACCUCGCGCGAUUGGAGCGGCCGAUAUCAGAUUAGGUAGUUGGUGAGGUAAAGGCUCACCAAGCCAACGAUCUGUAGCUGGUCUGAGAGGACGACCAGCCACACUGGAACUGAGACACGGUCCAGACUCCUACGGGAGGCAGCAGUGGGGAAUUUUGGACAAUGGACGCAAGUCUGAUCCAGCCAUUCCGCGUGCAGGAUGAAGGCCCUCGGGUUGUAAACUGCUUUUGUACGGAACGAAAGGUUUGUCUUAAUACGAUGAGCUCAUGACGGUACCGUAAGAAUAAGCACCGGCUAACUACGUGCCAGCAGCCGCGGUAAAGU
rnacentral:rRNA from 1 species